GACGAACCGUGCGAACGUUGUUCGGAAUAACUGGGCUUAAAGGGCGCGUAGGCGGGCAGUCAAGUCAGGGGUGAAAUCCCACGGCUCAACCGUGGAAGUGCCUUUGAUACUGGCUGUCUGGAGGGAGGUAGGGGCGUGCGGAACUUCCGGUGGAGCGGUGAAAUGCGUAGAUAUCGGAAGGAACGCCGGUGGCGAAAGCGGCGCGCUGGACCUCUUCUGACGCUGAGGCGCGAAAGCCAGGGGAGCAAACGGG
rnacentral:rRNA from 1 species